GAAGGGUGCAAGCGUUACUCGGAAUUACUGGGCGUAAAGCGUGCGUAGGUGGUUUGUUAAGUCUGAUGUGAAAGCCCUGGGCUCAACCUGGGAAUUGCACUGGAUACUGGCAGGCUAGAGUGCGGUAGAGGAUGGCGGAAUUCCCGGUGUAGCAGUGAAAUGCGUAGAGAUCGGGAGGAACAUCUGAGGCGAAGGCGGCCAUCUGGACCAGCACUGACACUGAGGCACGAAAGCGUGGGGAGCAAACAGGAUUAGAUACCCUGGUAGUCCACGCCCUAAACGAUGCGAACUGGAUGUUGGGAGCAACUAGGCUCUCAGUAUCGAAGCUAACGCGUUAAGUUCGCCGCCUGGGGAGUACGGUCGCAAGACUG
rnacentral:rRNA from 1 species